rnacentral:piRNA from 1 species
UCCACAGAGCUCGGCAGUCUCUGUAGCAC